AAAUUGAAGAGUUUGAUCAUGGCUCAGAUUGAACGCUGGCGGCAGGCCUAACACAUGCAAGUCGAACGGUAACAGGAAACAGCUUGCUGUUUCGCUGACGAGUGGCGGACGGGUGAGUAAUGUCUGGGAAACUGCCUGAUGGAGGGGGAUAACUACUGGAAACGGUAGCUAAUACCGCAUAACGUCGCAAGACCAAAGAGGGGGACCUUCGGGCCUCUUGCCAUCGGAUGUGCCCAGAUGGGAUUAGCUAGUAGGUGGGGUAACGGCUCACCUAGGCGACGA
rnacentral:rRNA from 1 species